AGGGUGUAAACGCUGCAGACUUGGUGUUGGAAGUCCUUUGGGGGCAUUCAGUGCCGGAGAGAAGUUGUUAAGUCUGCUACUUGGGGAGUACGUCCGCAAGGAUGAAACUUAAAGGAAUUGGCGGGGGAGCACCGCAACGGGAGGAGCGUGCGGUUUAAUUGGAUUCAACGCCGGACAUCUCACCGGAUAAGACAGCUGAAUGAUUGUCAAUCUGAAGGUUUUACAUGACUAGCUGAGAGGUGGUGCAUGGC
rnacentral:rRNA from 1 species